rnacentral:rRNA from 1 species
GCUUAGCCCUAAACAUAGACAAUCAAAAACACAAUAUUGUCCGCCAGAGAACUACAAGCGAAAAACUCGAAACUCCAAGGACUUGGCGGUGCUCCAUAUCAGCCUAGAGGAGCCUGUCCUAUAAUCGAUACCCCACGUUAAACCUUACCGCCUUUAGCCACUCAGCCUAUAUACCGCCGUCGUCAGCCUACCUUGUGAAAGAUACAACAGUAGGCACAACAGUUAUUAACUAACACGUCAGGUCAAGGUGUAGCAUAUAAGGUGGAAGAGAUGGGCUACAUUUUCUACCACAGAAUAAACGAACGGCACAAUGAAACACAUGCCCGAAGGCGGAUUUAGCAGUAAGACAGACAAGAAAUGCUAUCUUAAACCCGCUCUGGAGCGCGC